GCAGUGGCAACACUGCGGAAGGCCUAGUGGCGAACGGGUGAGUAACACCUGAGGAACUUGCCCCGGAGACCGGGAUAACUCUCCGAAAGGAGAGCUAAUACCGGAUGUCCUCACCGAAUCGCAUGGUUUGGUGAGGAAAUGGAUUCCGCUCCGGGAGAGCCUCGCGGCCUAUCAGCUAGUUGGUGGGGUAACGGCCCACCAAGGCAUCGACGGGUAGCUGGUCUGAGAGGACGAUCAGCCACACUGGGACUGAGACACGGCCCAGACUCCUACGGGAGGCAGCAGUGGGGAAUCUUGCGCAAUGGGCGAAAGCCUGACGCAGCAACGCCGCGUGCGGGAUGACGGCCUUCGGGUUGUAAACCGCUUUCAGUGGGGACGAACCAAGACGGUACCCACAGAAGAAGCCCCGGCCAACUACGUGCCAGCAGCCGCGGUAACACGUAGGGGGCAAGCGUUGUCCGGAUUUAUUGGGCGUAAAGAGCUCGUAGGUGGUUCGAUAAGUCGGGUGUGAAACCUCCAGGCUCAACCUGGAGACGCCACCCGAUACUGUCGUGACUAGAGUCCAGUAGGGGAGCAUGGAAUUCCUGGUGUAGCGGUGAAAUGCGCAGAUAUCAGGAGGACACCAGUGGCGAAGGCGGUGCUCUGGGCUGGAACUGACACU
rnacentral:rRNA from 1 species